rnacentral:rRNA from 1 species
CCUACGGGAGGCAGCAGUAGGGAAUCUUCCACAAUGGGCGAAAGCCUGAUGGAGCAACGCCGCGUGGGUGAAGAAGGUCUUCGGAUCGUAAAACCCUGUUGUUAGAGAAGAAAGUGCGUGAGAGUAACUGUUCACGUUUCGACGGUAUCUAACCAGACAGCCACGGCUAACUACGUGCCAGCAGCCGCGGUAAUACGUAGGGGGCAAACGUUAUCCGGAUUUAUUGGGCGUAAAGGGAACGCAGGCGGUCUUUUAAGUCUGAUGGGAAAGCCUUCGGCUUAACCGGAGUAGUGCAUUGGAAACUGGGAGACUUGCGUGCAGAAGAGGAGAGUGGAACGCCAUGUGUAGCGGUGAAAUGCGUAGAUAUAUGGAAGAACACCAGUUGCGAAAGCGGCUCUCUGGUCUGUAACUGACGCUGAGGUUCGAAAGCGUGGGUAGCAAACAGGAUUAGAUACCCGGGUAGUC